AAAAACCUCUCCAAAAGAACCUAAGACUGAGAAUUAUGAAAAAUAAAAAUUAAAUUAAGAUAAAUUUAAUUAAAUUAUUAUUGUAAAUUUUCCUUUAUAAAAAUUAAUAAGUAAUUUUAAGUAUUGUUAUUAUUAUUAGUUUUGGUUGUAUAAAAAAAAUAAAAAAGUAAUAACCUGAAUUGAAGUAUUUAAGAGGCAUGGCAGCGGCCUUCAGGCCAAAAUUGUGAGUAUGUGUGAUUGAUAAUUAUAUAUGUAUGUUUCAUGUAUGUUUAUGUAAAAGUAUGAUUUAGUCAAGUCAGUUCAUGUGCGCAGCGAAUUAUGUCUGAUAAAUAAUGUUCAUGCAUAGCUUGCCCUAACCACCUUUUAAUGAUAAAACAAAGUAUGUAUGAAGAGGGAUGGAUAAAUGUGAGAGAAUGCUUUUUAACAUGUUAAUUUGCAUGUGGAUCUGUAUGUGUCUGAGUCUUGGAAGUGGAAUGGUGUGGUAUGUUGUAAAAUAUGUGGCAGUACUGAGAAUAAUGGCACAAGGAAACUGCACUAAGCAGUUAUCUGUUAAAACAAAUAGCUCGAGCUGUGGAGUGUAAGGAGACGGGACAGAUAAGUUGAAGAUAAAAUGCGCGUUGAUGUCGGAACAAGUUGUUAUUGUUGUCUGAGUGUCUUAUCGGUUGUUAUCGUUGUUGUUAUCCGAGGAAGUCGGUGAUAAAGUGGUAUUGUGGAAAUCUGCAGAAGUCGCUAAUAAAUUGUUAUUGUGGUUUGAGACUAUAGUAAGAGGUUGUAGCGGCCCGUGAAGAGGGCCGAAAGAACUACAAGUCUAAUCUGUAGUUGUUGUUGUUGUUGUUGUUGUUGUAAGUCGUUAAAUAAGGUGUUGUUGUGUUGUGAGAUUUGAACAAAGAGCUCAUUCGACCCGGGGGAAGGGUCAAGAGAACUGGCGGUCUUACGAAUAAUCAUUGUGCCCUCUCAGGAAUGAUUUAGACGCGCAUGAAGUUCUGUUUGGCGGGGAAGCCAAAAUCGCUGUGCCCUCUCUGGAGCGAUAAAAAGAUAAUGCGGAUCCAAGAACAGCGCCUAUGAAAGAGGGCUGUUAUAGUGAAAUAGCUGUAGAGUAGAAGAGAAGAAAAUAAUAUAAGGCCUUUGUAAAAAUAUGUACAUAAAGUGUGAAAACUGAAAAAAAAAAUGCAUGAAUGUAAAAUAGAGGAGUAAGGUACCGUGUAAAUAAUAAAAUAGAACAAGUGAGGCAGGACAAAUUAAAAGAAAUAGAUAAUUGUAGUAGAAGAAAUUGUUUUUUGUUCUUUGACAAAAAUACGUAAGUAAACAGUUAAAUUGUUUAAAUAAAAAAAGAGAAUAAUAAUCGGAAGGCCAGAGCAGGAGCAAUCUAAUCCAAAAAAGAUAACGGCAGCAAGGAAGAAAGAAUAGAAGAUAAAAGUAACGCAGCGCCAGCUGUGCCAGUCAGCGUCCGACAGGAUGGGCAUAACACACAGUAAGCGGCCGACGGGACUGACACCCGCAGAAUUAGUAAUGUUAAAACACCCAACGCAAAAGAGAAAAAUUCAGGAGUGCAUGAAAAGAUGGCACGGGGUAUCCUCUGGAGCCACAAAGUGGCCGUUAGCAGGGACCUUUGACCUAAAUUAUUGUGACUGAAUAGAGGCUGAAUUACAGAGAAAAGACCUAAAGAAUGAUGAUAAUAAAUGAUAAUGAUAAGUAGAAGGAAACAUGACAAUUUCCACUGUGAGAAGUAGACGGGAGAAUAGUGGGAAAAAUUACAGUAGAGGUGAGAGAGAGAGGGCCAGAAGCAGAACACACACAUACAAUCAAAAAUAGAUCAGGGGAGACCUUGAAAACCAGCCAGCGCCCAGCACAGAAAACAAUGAGACACUGUCAGGGCAGCUGCAAUUUAGACUUCAGCCAAACCUUCUGCAUUUAGCAGAGAACUUAGACUUGGAGUAGAGAGCAAGCAUUAAAAUCGAUGCUGUGACAAAUAAGUAAUAAAUAAUAAUAAUAAUAUAGGCGGCAGGUAGAGCAGGUAGGCUCGUCAUCGGAACAAGAUACUGAACCCCAAAUUUCUCCUGAUGUGCAGUUGGCACCUUGCGUGGCAGCCUCUGCCAUCAGUGAGGGCCCUGCGCUGAGCUGAUGACUCGUCCAGGGAGUGCCCUGCCUUCACCCAGACAGAUAACUGCGACUGGCUCCAGUAACAAACCCUGCGACCCCAUAAAAGGGAUGAAGUGGUGACGGACAACAAUAAUGAUGCUAAUAAUAAUAGUAAUAAUAAUAUUUAAUAAACAAUAAGAAAAUAGUAAAUAAUAACAGAAUAGUAAAUAAUAGAAGAAUAGUAAGUAAUAAGAGAAGUGUAAUUAAAAUAACUGAUAAUUAUAGGCAAAUUAAAGUAAUAUGAUAUGAUAAUAAAUUGAAUGAUGAGGAUAAAGUGGUGGGUGAUAACACAGAUACAAGCAUAAAAAUGAAAAUAAAAUAAUUACUGAUGACUAUUGCGCCACUAAACGGGACAUGGAAAAUCAAGGUGUCGGAACGCAUUUUUGGCUUGAACAAACAUAUUUUGAUGAUGAGGAAAUUGGACAUUGGAAACUGAGCAAGAAAUCAGUCAAACAUUAUGGCAUUUGACGAAAGUUGGUAAUACAGACUCUUCCGGUUUGUAAUCAAUGUGCUGUAAAGAAUAUGAUCAGGAUGUGAGAGGAGGAGGAGAGACUCCCAUUUGGAGUGUCAGAAAGUCAUAUAAGAGGCAAUUAUCUCUACAUGAGGGGUUAUCGUUUUAAGAGGGAGUAAGAUAUGAAGUGCCGUGAAAGUAUGUGACCUCCACUCUGUUGUAUUUAAGUCAGUAACAUUUGGAAGACUGGAGAGAACAGUCUGGACCUUCCCUACAUGCAGCAUGCAUUAAAGAGAUCUGAUUCAUCACACUGAGUCUAACAUUCUUAAGAUAUAAGAUAAUCCUUAUAGGUGAGUAAGAAAUUGAAAGGAAGUGACUUAUGCAAACCUGAUAAAGGGUAAUACAAUGAAAAUAAUAGCAUAUAAUAGGAAGAAAAUAUAAUAUGAUACAAUAUGAGAUACUGUAAUAAUGAUAUGAUACAGUACAGUAUUACAUGAGGCCCCACUACAAUAAAAUGGGUGUAUGAGUGAAAAUAAAUAUAUGAAAUAAGUAUAAAGAAUAAACUUCGUGGUGACAUUCAGUGACUAGUAUACAGCCUGUAUACUACAGGGGUGCGUUGCUCGGAACGAAUGUGUCAUACAAACCAAAAAGUUACCCAAAGUUAGUGUGUGGUUGAUGAGAUCCAUCCAUACACUGUAUGGGAAGAGCAGAAUGAUUGUGAAAUUUGUUUGAAUGAUAAGUCCAUUGAAAGUUUAAGCACAUCUGUCCCAGUGAGUCAGCUGAAAACAUAAGGAACAAAACCGGAAAUUUAUAAGCUCUAUCUGACCCUCUUACAGGCUCUGCUGAAAUAAUGGCAGACAAAUGGGGAAAUAAUGUGGUUAAAAAUGUUCAACUUUGGCACUGUGUCACCCAUGGGGUGCUUCCAGUAAAAGGCACAUUAAGCACAGAAUGUUUAAGAUAGUGUAAAAUAUGUUAAAAGAAAAGGUAACAGGAAAGCAGGAAAGAAAAAAAGGUAGACUGACAAGUUUUUAAAAUCAGUAGUGGGACUGAAACGGUAAUGGGAAAAUAGAGUUUGAGUAACAUAAAGAAGAAACAAUGUAGGGCCAGAAUUAGGAAUUGACCUCCUCCAUGCUGUCUCCACACCUACAACCCUCCUUUAAACAAUACCUUCUCCACACAAGGUCAGGCAUCCCAGGAUGACUCUGUGAAGGAGGGAGGAGGAUAACCAGUACACCCUGUCUUUUCAGCCCUCUUUCUCUCUUCUAAAAUGAGUCACAAAUUAACCUUGCUUCUCCAAAAAAGCCUUUUUCUCCACCAGCCAGCUUCUACUGACUACUGACUGCGGAGUCGAGAUCACUGAGGGGAUGAUGUUCCCCGACCCCGUGCUGAGGCAAACAAGGAAGCAGACUGUCAUUGAGAUCCAGAAGUGUUUUAUACACAGACCAUGUCAGCCAAACAAAUUGAAGGAGGCUACAGAGGUAUCACCUGACACAAAGACUGGAGUCGGGUGGGCCACAGAGUCCUGGACAAAGAUGGCAGGCACUGCACAACAGCCAGAGGAAAAGGAGACUGGGCCCGUAUCAAAUUAUCAAGGAAAGUGCAACAGCACUGACCAGAUAAGCUAUGCUGCAGAAGUAAGGUUAUGGGAACCCCGAGCUUAAUCAUCAAGAAGGGAGAGAUCCAGAGGAAUCCUGACCACAUGCACCAGCUAAAGGUGUCUGUUCAUUUCCCAGGAUUCACCUUGACACAGCCAAAGGAGACAGCAGAGAUGGAUCCUGCUUCAGAGACGUGACAAGCAACAACACAGGUUAAGAAAUUGUACAGUUGCUGCCAGAUGAUAUAUUUACCACAGUCCAAACAAUCUAUCUUGCCCAACCAUGCUCAGCACAGCUUGCAGAAAUUAAAGCUUUUAACUGCCGCAAAGCAAAUUAUCAGAAGGCAAGCGGUUAAAUGUAUACUCACAGUGGGCUAUGCAUACGCAGUGUGUCAUAUAUAUGGAAAUAUCUGGAAACAGAGAGGUUUUCUCAGAGCGGAAUGGCACACCAGUAAUGCAUGGAGCAGCCAUCUUAACACUAAUUCAAGCAUUCAUCUAUCAAGUGUAUCAGCUAUUAUCAAGUGUGCUGCUCACCAAAAAAGCAGUUCCCUAAUAGCCAAACGCAAUAGCCUGGCUGACGAGGCCACUAAACAAGCUGAAACCGGUACAUGUGUUGGACGGUUGAAGGCAGCCGAAAACUGUGAACCACUCACCACUUUACCAUCCUUAAUAGCAGCCCAGAAGGAGGCUGACAUACGUACAGUUAGUGUGGUUAAAACGUGGUGAUAUUAAAACCACUCAAGAAGACCACCAGAAAGGUUUAUGGUGUAAGCACAGUAGAUAAAACUUUAGCAGAAUGUUUGUGCAAACAAUACUCUGAGGAAAGCCUUUCCUGCUGCAAAAUUAUACAAAUUAUACAAAUGUGUUUGCCAGAGUGCAUGAAUUCUGAUAACGAGUCAUCUUUUGAUAGAGAUAAAGAUUAAACUAGGAGUUUGAGACCAUGGACUUCUGAAAAUAAAGACAGUUCAGGCUAAAAAGGGCAGAGACUAUCCAGGGUGGAAAAAAAAAAAAAAGAGCACUCUUCAAUUUGGGCUAAGAGAAAAGAAAAGGGUAUUUGUAGGACAGAGAAAUGCAGGUUAAAAUACAGCCUUAAGUCCAUGGACGGCAAACAUUGGAUAAAUAAUCAAAAAGCAAGGUAAAUUAAAGUCUAAAUUAAAGGAAAUGUGAGAAUAAUGCAUGCGAGAACCAAAACUGAAAAAAAACACACACAAAAAAAAAAACAAUCUGAACUGAAAAUAAACAACGAUAAUAGUUGUUAACAAAAAUCGAAGACCAACAAAAAAGUUUCAGUUAAACCAACAAUAAAUGUUCGAACAUUCUUAUGGGGGUUUAAUAAAGUAAAAAAGUAGUGUAUGAGGUUGUUGACUGUGUGUUGUCAACUACCUGUGUCUUGAGUGUGUGUUGAAGAAUCUACUGGAAAAAUUAGUGUUUCCUAAAAUAAAUUGUGCUAUUUUGCAGUGUUGUGUGAUUUGGUGCUGAUGUAACUGUCAGACAUUGGAGACAUUUUUGCUGUUCUAAAGAGCUUUGUAUUACUGUUAAUAAGUGGUUAAGUGUGUUGCAGUACUCAAACGAUGUGAAGGUUAUUAGACAAACUUGAUAGUUCUGGUCUAAAAUGUGUGUGCUAAUAGAUAUAUUAGUAUUGAAUGUGAUUUAUGAGAUGGUUGUUCUUGUGUGUUGUUUUUGACUUAUGAAUACUAUUCGUGCAGGCUAAGAGUUUAUAAAUGCAUGUGUAAAGUGUCGUUGAGAUAAGGAAUCCAAGUGACGGUCGGUUGAGGUUACAGCCGAGGAGACACAUCCCCGGGCAGGUUUUAUAUUGUUUUAAGAGCGGGUUCCUAUCUCGCUGAUGGCUGAGGGAGUUGUGUGCUGAAAAGUUGUGUUUCAAACUGCAGCUCCAUUGCUCCUCCCCUGGUGUGUGUGAGAGGGGGGAUGCUAGCGCCCCCCGCUCUACUGCACGUCCGGUGUGACGUAAUCACCCUCCCUUUCUCUCCUCGCUGUCGACUGGGUCCAAGCUCAGUGAACUUUUCCUUUUUUAGUACAUCAAGGUUUUGUUGUGUAUUUUUUGUUGUUGUUGUUUUUCAAGCUCCUUUCAGCAUGCUGUCUCAUUAGUGGUUGUUGUCUGAAGUGAAUACCUAUAUGCAAGUGAUAUAUACAAUUUACGACGAUUACAUAUAAGCUGCUAUUUCAAAUAUUAUAACCAAUUGUGUUGCAAAUACAGUUUAAGCCAGUUUAUAUUCAAGUAAACGCUAUGAUCUGUUCUUUGGAGUUACAGGGUGUGAGCUGAAGAAGGCUGUUGUUAAUCAAGUAGCAUUUGACCAACCUACUCUAUUGCCCAAAUGGUGUGUUCAUAACAAAGAAAUUCAAAGCUAAUAUUAGAACUGAAAUAUUAGAAAUGAUAUAUAAUGAUGUUGAAAAUACUGAGAUCCUUUACAAAAAAGCAUAUAUAUGAAGUGUCUGUGUUGAUUGCAUCAUGAUUUUCACAUCAAAGUUCACAUACCUGUUACAGAAGAAGUAAAAUCAUCAUUUUAACUACAGAAACAUCAAGCAUCUAAUAAAAACAUACAUAUAACAUGUCCACAGUCACAAGGUUCAGUAGAACAUGCCAGUGGUAUAUCAAAAACUAAAAUAGCCAAAAUCAUGGCUGAUGGUAAUGGUAAACUCACCUGAGAAGAUGCUUUGCCAUUAGCACUAAUGUCUAUGCACUCACAAACUAACAGACUAACCCAUCUAACCCUGCAUGAAAUGCUCACUGGAUGCCCAAUGCCACUGCCACAGUGCAGGGGCCCUAUAGAGGGACCGCUUCAGCAGCACUAUUUAUGGGGUUUAACUCAAAUCUACAGAUGUGUCCUCCAACAGGUGAAAGACUGAUAGUAGUGUCGGAGAGGCUGCCGAGGAUGAUGCCACCAGCACAACCACGGGCAGUGACACCCUGGAAAGCGCACGUGCAGGACCGUCCGGCCUGCAAGAUAUACACCACCCGUCCACGCCUGAAUUCUGGCCAGAGUCAGAGCGUUCUCUGACUCAGAUUAAUUUGUUUGUUUUCUUUCUUUUUGUGCUAACCCUUUCAGGUUUCGCAAGGGGGGAGGUAGAAAGAGAAGUCCUAAUGACAUGUGCCACUAUUAACACACCACAUGUUAACUGUGCACUUACCAUGGUCACCUUAGCCACAAUUACAAGGGCAUAGUGAAAAUGGGAGAACUACUACAUCUUCUGUAUGUAAAAGCUGACACAUAUGGUUGUUCACUAACCACCGAUGGCACAAUAGCUAACGCUCCAGGUUAACAUUGGGUGGGACUACCCCGCACCACUGACUGUCAAGAGAAUGGAUGGUGACAUUACAGGUAAUACGCACAAACACGUCAUGUUAGGACACAGAAACAAUCAGAAAAUGAAACUUUUAGAAGCCAGUAGAUGGAUUCGGCUAAAGAGUAACUGAGAAAAAAGAGAUUUGGCCAAACUAAGAAGCACAGAAAAAGACCAAUAAGAGUGUAUUGUACGUUACAAACGUCAAAAGAAUACCACUGCCAGGAAGUCACAGAGGUGACUGUUCGGAUAUAACUGAAUGUCUUGCUUGUUGUGCAGUGCACAUGGCAGUGAAAUUGGAUAGAUGGAGUUCCAACUCUCAAAUAUGCCAAUGAAAAAUUAAAAACAAUGACAGCUAUGUAAACUUGAUAAACUAAUCUUCCUUUUCUGUGUAGCACGAGGACGAGUUGGUGUAUGUAACCUGGAGAAACACAACCAACCUGACGUGGUGAGACUAAUGAAGUGCAGCAAUGAGACCUGGUAUCCGGCCACCAAUGGGGGCAAUGCUACCACCAUAAAAAUGUGUGAAUCCAGCCCUUCAACAAUUAGCCCAACCACAACUACAGGAUGAGCUCUCCGUGGAUAAUCAGCUAGGAAGACAACAUCAUGGAUAGAGGUCAAAAUGUAAUUUAGAUAAAUGUGCCAGCAAGGCUGUGAGCCUGGCUAAGGUUGCUGUCCACUCCUGCAGAGGAACAAUCCAAAUGGAUACAACAGAGCAGAGGUAUCUGUCAGUGCCUGCACCCUCCAGGAAGAAGGGUGAGCUAUCAACACAGAGACUACUGUACAAGGAGAGAGACAGGCUGACAGGUUUAUAAAUUAUGUUCCGACAAUUGUACGACGAUCCCUUGUAUUCAACAUAGUUAUGUAGAGUCAAAUGUUGUAAAUGUGUUGAUGAAGAAAAGCGGGCACUCAUUUGUGAAGGUCACGUCAGAAAGCUGAGUGCCAUAAAAAGCACAAGAAAUGUAUUAAACCAGUGUGGUUUACAGGAAACCAGUAAGUUCAUAGGGACUCUGGUGUAAUGUUGGCCUUAGGGCCGCCACACUAACCAAGGCAACACCACGGGUAAUAUGUCACCAAGGCUAACAAAUAACCCAAGCGUGUCAUUUAAGUCCAGGUGCUAAGAUUGGAUAGAGCUCUUACCUGUCGUUAUGUAAUUGGAUCAUUGGAAAAAUACCAGAAGAAAUUUUUUUUACAAAAACAAAAGGUGGUAUGAGAGUUUUACGUCAAUGAUCUAAUAAUUACUGAUCUAAUGUUUGCUGAACUGACCAAAGAGGGAUCAUCUUUACAAAGUGUGUCUAGAUAAUAUUCUAAUUCUAAAGGGUUUAAGAAUUUGUCUAUGUAAUCUUGUGCUUUUCUGAAAAAAAAAAAAAAAAAAAAAAAA